GUUCCAUUAGCUCAGUUGGGAGAGCACUCGACUUUUAAUCGAGGGGUCAUGGGUUCAAGCCCCAUAUGGAGCA
rnacentral:tRNA from 2 species